rnacentral:rRNA from 1 species
UACAGAGGUCUCAAGCGUUGUUCGGAUUCAUUGGGCGUAAAGGGUGCGUAGGUGGCGGGGUAAGUCAGGUGUGAAAUUUCGGAGCUUAACUCCGAAACUGCAUUUGAUACUGCCUUGCUUGAGGACUGGAGAGGAGACUGGAAUUCACGGUGUAGCAGUGAAAUGCGUAGAUAUCGUGAGGAACACCUGCGGCGAAGGCGGGUUGCUGGGCUGACACUGACGCUGAUGCGCGAAAGCAUGGGGAGCGAACAGG